UACAGAGGGGGCAAGCGUUGUUCGGAAUUACUGGGCGUAAAGGGCGCGUAGGCGGCCCGCUAAGUCAGACGUGAAAUCCCCCGGCUUAACCUGGGAACUGCGUCUGAUACUGGAAGGCUUGAGUGCGGGAGAGGGAUGUGGAAUUCCAGGUGUAGCGGUGAAAUGCGUAGAUAUCUGGAGGAACACCGGUGGCGAAGGCGGCAUCCUGGACCGACACUGACGCUGAGGCGCGAAAGCGUGGGGAGCAAACAGG
rnacentral:rRNA from 1 species